GGGGAUCGGCUGGCAGGGGUUGUCGCAGGAGUCGCACAUUGAGCACGCAAGGCCCGGUGGGGCCCAUGUGUCGUCGGCGGAGGCGCAGACGAUGACGAGGAAGAGAAGGAUGAGGAACGGUGAGGGCGUCGCCAUCACCGUCGGUGAGAGAGAUGGUGACAGUUUUCGCCGCCGAACUCGCUGGUGACAGCAGUGGGGAGAGAGACGUG
rnacentral:misc_RNA from 1 species